GAUGAACGCUGACAGAAUGCUUAACACAUGCAAGUCAACUGUGGCGGACGGGUGAGUAACGCGUAAAGAACUUGCCUCCCGGAUAGGGACAACAUUUGGAAACGAAUGCUACUCCCUGAUACUGUGAGAGAGCUUUGCUUCCCAUUAUCUAGUUGGAGAGGUAACGGCUCACCAAGGCGAGGAUGGGUAGCCGGCCUGAGAGGGUGAUCGGCCACAAGGGGACUGAGACACGGCCCUUAAUCCUACGGGAGGCAGCAGUGGGGAAGAUUGGACAAUGGACCAAAGUCUGAUCCAGCAAUUCUGUGGGAACGAUGAAGGUUUAGGAAUGGAAAGUGCUGUCAGUUGGGAAGCGGUACCAACAGAAGAAGUGACGGCUAAAUACGUGCCAGCAGCCGCGGUAAUUC
rnacentral:rRNA from 1 species